CCUGGGAUUGGGUUUGGGCCUUUAUUGCAUAGUUUAGGUGGAGGGCGAAGAAGGCCUCCUUCCGAGGGGGCCCGAACCAUCAACGAGAUAUCACUUUGGAAGAGUUAGAAUUCUAACCUUGUGUCAGGACAUGGUAUUUACAUGAGG
rnacentral:rRNA from 1 species